CUAUAUGGAAAACCGUUGCCAAACACUCUAUUUGGUGCAGUGAUUCUCAAAUUAUGGGUAAGUUACCAAAAUCUCCUCAUGGACAUUUUCACAUUGCAUGGUGCAUGAUUCCUGCCCCCUAGUCUGAUUUGGGGCUCGACCCCUUGACUGAGAAAUGCGAUCGUAGUAAACAUGCUUUUAUCAUGGAAGUGUCUUGUCCUUUCUUUAACUUUUUUCAAGAUUUUUUUUGGCCUUGUACCACAUGGGAUCU
rnacentral:lncRNA from 1 species